rnacentral:rRNA from 1 species
UAGGGAAUCUUCCGCAAUGGACGAAAGUCUGACGGAGCAACGCCGCGUGAGUGAAGAAGGAUUUCGGUUCGUAAAACUCUGUUGUUAGGGAAGAAAAAAUGUAUAGUAACUAUAAACAAAAGAGACGGUACCUAACCAGAAAGCCACGGCUAACUACGUGGCAGCAGCCGCGGUAAUACGUAUGGGGCGAGCGUUGUCCGGAAUUAUUGGGCGUAAAGGGUACGUAGGCGGUCUAUUAAGUCAGGUGUGAAAGCGUGAGGCUUAACCUCAUUAAGCACUUGAAACUGAUAGACUUGAGUGAAGGAGAGGAAAGUGGAAUUCCUAGUGUAGCGGUGAAAUGCGUAGAUAUUAGGAGGAAUACCGGUGGCGAAGGCGACUUUCUGGACUUUUACUGACGCUCAGGUACGAAAGCGUGGGGAGCAAACAGG